GCCGGGAGUUAGUGGCGUGCUCCUGUAAUCCAGCUACUUGGAGGCCGGGUGCAACGGAUGCCUCUGGUCGUAUAUUCGGAUCCUAAUUGCCGCGCAUUGUUUUAAACGGUCAGCGGGAGCACUUCGGGGUCCCGACCGAGUGUUUUCGUCGACCAACAGGGUAUCUAGGGACUUAGUCUCGGUGCGCGGCGGUUGAGAGCCGUUUUCCCCGUUUGCAGACGAAGAGUCAGACCUGUACCUUA
rnacentral:SRP_RNA from 1 species